rnacentral:rRNA from 1 species
CUCCAGACUCCUACGGGAGGCAGCAGUGGGGAAUAUUGCACUAUGGGCGCAAGCCUGAUGCAGCCAUGCCGCGUGUAUGAAGAAGGCCUUCGGGUUGUAAAGUACUUUCAGCGGGGAGGAAGGCGAUAAGGUUAAUAACCUUGUCGAUUGGCGUUACCCGCAGAAUAAGCACCGGCUAACUACGUGCCAGCAGCCGCGGUAAUACGUAGGGUGCGAGCGUUAAUCGGAAUUACUGGGCGUAAAGGGUGUGCAGGCGGCUGAGUAAGACAGAUGUGAAAUCCCCGGGCUUAACCUGGGAACCGCAUAUGUGGCUGCUUGGCUAGAGUGCGUCAGGGGGAGGUGGAAUUCCACGUGUAGCAGUGAAAUGCGUAGAGAUCUGGAGGAAUACCGGUGGCGAAGGCGGCCCCCUGGACAAAGACUGACGCUCAGGUGCGAAAGCGUGGGGAGCAAACAGGAUUAGAUACCCCCGUACG